rnacentral:rRNA from 1 species
UGAGGAAUAUUGCACAAUGGGCGCAAGCCUGAUGCAGCAACGCCGCGUGGAUGAUGAAGGCCUUCGGGUUGUAAAAUCCUUUUUCUGGGGAAAGAUAAUGACGGUACCCCAGGAAUAAGUUCCGGCUAACUACGUGCCAGCAGCCGCGGUAAAACGUAGGGGACGAGCGUUAUCCGGAUUUACUGGGCGUAAAGCGCAUGUAGGUGGCUUGAAAAGUUGGACGUGAAAGCUCCUGGCUUAACUGGGAGAGGUCGUACAAAACUAGCAAGCUUGAGGUUGGAAGAGGAGAGCAGAAUUCCCGGUGUAGUGGUGGAAUGCGUAGAUAUCGGGAGGAAUACCAGUGGCGAAAGCGGCUCUCUGGUUCAAUACUGACACUGAGAUGCGAAAGCGUGGGGAGCGAACGGGAUUAGAUACCCGCGUAGUCCCUGAGCGGGCUGGCAAGGCGCAU